CAGCCUCUUUUAUCCACUGGCCAGGUGUGAAUGCCACCCAACAUACCAGGAGGAGGGGACAGGUAGGGUGCAGCUCUGCCACAUUGCCCCUAACCUGCCCUGCUCCCUCCCUGCAGCCUUCAUCUCCUCGUCCUCCAGGCAGCACAAGCCAUUGUGGAAUCUCCACCAGGUGUACAGAACGGUGCCUCUGCGUCCUGCCACUCAGGACCUCUCAAGUCCCCGAUGUGAUGGCUCCUCAGCAUGAUCAGGAACCAAAAAGAAGAAUGUACUUCAUCUGGUUGGGCUGGAUUCCCUCUGAUAAGCCUUCCCAGUUGACUGAAAGAUGAGGCUAGGCUCUAGCAAGUUGAAGUCAAACCAGCUCCUUCAAGAAGCUUUGAGCAGAAUGAAGUGGGGAGGACCCAGCUUCCAGCCCAGGAAGCCCACUGUACCUGGAGCCAUCUGGGAUAAGACUUUGACCCAUGACUCCCAUAUCCACAGCCUGUCCAUCCUAGCCCAUCCCAGUUUAUCCUGUAUCAUUUGAGCUGGGAUUCCCACAUCCUCUGAGUUGGAAGUCCCAUCUCAAGUCUUCAAUAAAGACUCUUGAAUAUU
ensembl:lncRNA MIR9-1HG MIR9-1 host gene